rnacentral:rRNA from 1 species
UACGAAGGGGACUAGCGUUGUUCGGAAUCACUGGGCGUAAAGCGCACGUAGGCGGAUGUGUCAGUCAGGGGUGAAAUCCCGGGGCUCAAUCUCGGAACUGCCUUUGAUACAGCACGUCUCGAGUCCGGAAGAGGUGGGUGGAAUUCCUAGUGUAGAGGUGAAAUUCGUAGAUAUUAGGAAGAACACCGGCGGCGAAGGCGGCCCACUGGUCCGGUACUGACGCUGAGGUGCGAAAGCGUGGGGAGCAAACAGG